AUUGAACGCUGGCGGCAGGCUUAACACAUGCAAGUCGAACGAGUGGCGGACGGGUGAGUAAUGCUUGGGAAUCUGGCUUAUGGAGGGGGAUAACUACGGGAAACUGUAGCUAAUACCGCAUACCAUCGGAUGAGCCCAAGUGGGAUUAGCUAGUUGGUGGGGUAAAGGCUCACCAAGCCGACGAUCCCUAGCUGGUCUGAGAGGAUGACCAGCCACACUGGGACUGAGACACGGCCCAGACUCCUACGGGAGGCAGCAGUGGGGAAUAUUGCGCAAGGGGGGCAAGCCUGAUGCAGCCAUGCCGCGUGAAUGAAGAAGGCCUUCGGGUUGUAAAGUACUUUCGGCAGGGAGGCGUUACCCACAGAAGAAGCACCGGCUAACUCCGUGCCAGCAGCCGCGGUAAUAC
rnacentral:rRNA from 1 species